rnacentral:rRNA from 1 species
AUGCACGCUGGCGGCGUGCCUAAUACAUGCAAGUCGAGCGCACGGACGAGAAGCUUGCUUCUCUGAUGUUAGCGGCGGACGGGUGAGUAACACGUGGAUAACCUACCUAUAAGACUGGGAUAACUUCGGGAAACCGUAGCUAAUACCGGAUAAUAUUUUGAACCGCAUGGUUCAAAAGUGAAAGACGGUCUUGCUGUCACUUAUAGAUGGAUCCGCGCUGCAUUAGCUAGUUGGUAAGGUAACGGCUUACCAAGGCAACGAUGCAUAGCCGACCUGAGAGGGUGAUCGGCCACACUGGAACUGAGACACGGUCCAGACUCCUACGGGAGGCAGCAGUAGGGAAUCUUCCGCAAUGGGCGAAAGCCUGACGGAGCAACGCCGCGUGAGUGAUGAAGGUCUUCGGAUCGUAAAACUCUGUUAUUAGGGAAGAACAUAUGUGUAAGUAACUGUGCACAUCUUGACGGUACCUAAUCAGAAAGCCACGGCUAACUACGUG